AGUGAACGCUGGCGGUAGGCCUAACACAUGCAAGUCGAACGGCAGCACAGUAAGAGCUUGCUCUUACGGGUGGCGAGUGGCGGACGGGUGAGGAAUACAUCGGAAUCUACUUUUUCGUGGGGGAUAACGUAGGGAAACUUACGCUCAUACCGCAUACGACCUACGGGUGAAAGCAGGGGAUCUUCGGACCUUGCGCGAUUGAAUGAGCCGAUGUCGGAUUAGCUAGUUGGCGGGGUAAAGGCCCACCAAGGCGACGAUCCGUAGCUGGUCUGAGAGGAUGAUCAGCCACACUGGAACUGAGACACGGUCCAGACUCCUACGGGAGGCAGCAGUGGGGAAUAUUGGACAAUGGGCGCAAGCCUGAUCCAGCCAUACCGCGUGGGUGAAGAAGGCCUUCGGGUUGUAAAGCCCUUUUGUUAGGAAAGAAAAGCAGCAGGUUAAUACCCCGCUGUUCUGACGGUACCCAAAGAAUAAGCACCGGCUAACUUCGUG
rnacentral:rRNA from 1 species